GCCACGUACACUUUCACUAGAAUUCAGUGGAUGCUCGAGAUGGUCUCAGGUAAAGUUUUAACCCUGAAAGAGUUCUGGAAGGAAGAUUACUACAUACUUUCCUGUAUGACAUUAAUUGAGAAAUCCUGGGCCAAUGUCUGUCUGAGGAAACGUAGAUCUGCCUGUUCACAGGAUAGAGACUUUGAAGACUGUGUAGAGGAGCUUUCAAUUGACCAACUUGAGUUACAACCAGCCCUUGGAAAUCAAUUGACAGUCUAGCAGCUUUCUUUCAGGGUGUUCCGGUUCCUGCCCACAGCACGGUGAGAUCUCGGGAGUGGCUUGGAGCCCCACCUUCAUACGGUGCUCCUCUACGUGGGUCAGCCAAUCAGUGUGAAGCUCCUCGGCUGUGUUCCAUUUCCUGCCCAUGGCACGGUAUCUCCCCAUUAAUGGUGAAAUCUUGGAAACAGCCCAGUUGCCCAUCAACAGAUGAAUGAAGAAAAUAUGGUUUUUAUAUACAAUGGAGUACUACACUUAUAAAGAACGAUACACUUGAGACAUUUUAAAGUAAAUGGAUGCACCUCGAGAACAUAAGUGAAAUAAGUUGGACACACAUGUUUAGAUUUUGCGUUGUUUCUGUGGGAUUGUAUGAUUCAAAACUUAUGUAUUCCCUCAGACUUCGUUAUGUCUAAUGGCUAAAAUGUAUUUGCUAGUCUUGAAAUAGUAGAUAAGAUCUGUAACCUCCUAAGCAAAGCAUUCUACCCCUUGUUUGUCCGGAGAACAGAAAAUUCCCGGAACUACUAUCAGUAGAACAGACCGUAACUAAAUCUGCUGAUUAUGGUCAUAGUGUCCUCACUGCGGUUAUGCUGACCAUCAACAUGUGACGAUGAGCCAAACUCUUGUUCCUUUUUUCCCGUAAACCUACAUGUAACCUACCCCUUUCAACCCCCUAUAAAAACAGCC
rnacentral:lncRNA from 1 species